GAGCUGAACUCCAUCGAGUCUGGUUCAUGACCUGUGCACAGACCAUACUUACCAAGCUGUACAAAUGAGAAGAUAAGUCUACAUGGCAUUGUAAUGAUUUGGUCACACUGGUUCCACCUGUAUACAAACAGACACUGUGUUAGGUGCAACCUCCAGCUAAAAUAUGAAGGUCAUUGCUGCUUUGUGCAGGGAUGCUCUUCACACAUGCCAUUUUACAACAGCACAUGAGGUAUCGAGCCCUACGUUUGUUCACACCUCAGGAUAAAAGAACACCACAGUGCCAACUUAACUGAUAGGGGAUUCAUACCCUCAACACAAGACAUUGUAACUCAGCAAAAAUGGCCAAACUGCUAAAAUGCCAUUCACUUUUGCACUUUGUAGUUGCUACUUAAUGUUUGCUUGGCCUAUAAAUUUUCCUUGUGGCUUCUAAAUAUCUGUCAAAGUGAGGCCGGAAGCCUUUUUUGUCAGGCAGCUGGGAAAUUUUGUUGAACAAAAUCAUCAAGACCCAUCAAAUAAAAAACGACCACUGGUAACAGCAGCUUGAAAGAAAAUGUGCUAAACUAUCAACAACAAAAGACUUCAGUCGGGAAAAGUCAGAAGCUGGAAAUGAUGGAAACAGCCUGCAUCUUAAAAUUUCUUU